ACAAAACAGUUAGGAGUAUCAAGCCCUGUAAAUUACCGAAAGUGCAGCGCUCGUGAGCAAUCGCGAGUGAGCAAACUUGGCUAUAUGCUGGAAAUCUCUUGUGGACCUGCGCCGACCUUUGUCGGAGCCCAAGAGACAAUCAGCAGGGAAGUCGUCUCGACGUUACGUCGGGGUUGACCCCUCAGAGACUACACGCCGAGCUCCAGUCGUAAGACUGGAUGAUGAUAUAGUCCGAUCCUCUUAGUGAUAGGAGC
rnacentral:ncRNA from 1 species